rnacentral:rRNA from 1 species
CCUACGGGAGGCAGCAGUGGGGAAUAUUGCACAAUGGGGGGAACCCUGAUGCAGCGACGCCGCGUGAGUGAAGAAGUAUCUCGGUACGUAAAGCUCUAUCAGCAGGGAAGAAAAUGACAGUACCUGACUAAGAAGCCCCGGCUAACUACGUGCCAGCAGCCGCGGUAAUACGUAGGGGGCAAGCGUUAUCCGGAUUUACUGAGUGUAAAGGGAGCGUAGACGGCAGCGCAAGUCUGGAGUGAAAUGCCGGGGCUCAACCCCGGAACUGCUUUGGAAACUGUGCAGCUAGAGUGCGGGAGAGGUAA